rnacentral:rRNA from 1 species
CUUCUUGAAUUUAUUUGAAGUCUUGCCUGCCCAUUGAUAUUUAAUUUAACGGCCGCGGUAUUUUGACCGUGCAAAGGUAGCAUAAUCAUUAGUCUUUUAAUUGUUGACUGGAAUGAAUGGUUUGACGAGAUAAAAUUUGUCUCUAAUGUAUUAAUUGAAUUUUACUUUUGAGUUAAAAGGCUUAAAUGUGAAAUAGGGACGAGAAGACCCUAUAGAUCUUUAUUUUAAUGGGAUUUUUAAUUUUAUUUAAAUUAAAUAUUUUAAUUAUAAUUUUGUUGGGGUGAUGUAAGAAUAAAUUUAACUUCUUAUUUAAUAAACUUGGAUAAUAGGUUUAUUGAUCCUUUAAUAUGGAUGGAAGAUUAAGAUACCUUAGGGAUAACAGCGUUAUUUUAUUUGAGAGUUCAUAUCGACAAUAAGGAUUGCGACCUCGAUGUUGGAUUAAGAUUACAAUUUGGUGUAGUGGCUAAAAUAUGUUGGUCUGUUC